CUCCUUCUCUAAGUCACCCAUAAACCAUUUUCCUCCGUGACAACCUCCACCUUCGUCCUUUCUUCCCUUCCCCAUUUUCUUCCUCCCUAUCCUCUUCUCCUCUUUUUCCUCUUCUUCCAUCAUAUUCCUUGCGGACGGCCUCUCUUCCUUCCUUCCCUUCCUUCUCAUCCUCUUUCUCCUCCAAAUCAACUUAUUAGCUCAAUCCCUUUAGAUGGCCUCCUCUACAUCCGCCUCUUCUCAUCGAUAAAAAAAUCCUUUCUUCUCUCCUUCUCACUCAUUUCUUCUCCUCCAUGAUGGCUCUCCUUCUAUCUCCUUUUCUUCCUCCUUAUCUAUUUCAUCUUCUUAUCUUCCUCUUCCUCCAAACCAUCUAUAAGCCAUCUUCUUCACGGUGGCCCCUUCUACCUCUAUCCCUCUCCGUUUGUAAUCCAUUCUUCCUCUCUUCUUCCUCUCCACCUUCUUCUUCUUCUUCUUGUCCUGCUUCUCUUCCAACCCAACAUCACUUCUCCCCUCUUCUCUUUCUUUCUCAUCUAUUUUUUUUCUCAUCUUCUUCCUCCUCUAAGCCCACUGAUGAAUAAAAGAUAUUUUCGUCUAUUGAGAAAUAAAUCUAACACCGUUGAUUGGUAAAAUAAACGGUUAGAUCACAUUGGAAUAUAUCGAUAAUUAGAAGGGUCAAUUGAUAUUUUUUAAGAUAUAGGAGUAUAAAU
rnacentral:lncRNA from 1 species